CUCAACCUUUCCUCAUAGGAGAGGUGCUCCAGCCCUCUGAUAUCUUAGUUAUUGCAUUCUUUGCAAUCGCUUGCAGCCUGGGGCUGCUUUCUGGCUUUGAAUUAUUAGACACCCUUUGCUACUUUUUUCUUGUUGUGACAUCCUUCCUACCAUACAAUACAUGUGACAACUGCCAUUUAGUGUAUUCAUAGAGAGGGGUUUAUUUUAGUACCAAUUGUCACACCUGCUAUUAACAUACUAUGUAUUUCAGUUGCUAAAUAUAUAAUAACAACUGCAGUACCCUUUAAAACUGACUUAGGACUGAGAUGGGAAGUGGCUGCUGUGAACUUCCUUUCAGUGGUGUGUCUGGGCUGGAGUUAUUUAGGGCUGCAGUGGUUGAUUUUGUUUGUGAGGAGUUGUGAGGAGGGCCAGCCUUGGAAUAACAGAUGUCCGAUAAUGUUGGGCCUUCCUAGGGGUGAAGAAGGAUAAUUUGGGUACAGGAACGGGAGGUGGUCUGUAUUAGAUUUAACUUAUAAGAAAAUGCUACAAUAAGAAUCUCCUUUUGAUUUGGUUUAAUGUAUUUCUGCAGUUCUUAAAAUAAUUGUGGCAAGUGGAACAAGGUUUAAAGUGUAUAAAAAUGGAAAACUUUCAUUCCAUCUCUGAGAAGCAUGCCAAGUGAUUAAGGUAAAAAGGAAUUUGUGGAAGAAAUGAAGAGUAUGGUCUUCUCUGGAAUGUGAGUGGUAUGGAAAUUUGAUUUGUACUAUAAUAAGUAACAACAGGUGAUUGAUGGCCUAAUAGGGAAAGCAGGCACAUGUGGAUUUUUACCAUUUACAUGGCUGGAAAUAGUUGAAAUCUGAGAAGGAGAGACAGCUGCUGCACAGCAGAAGUAUCCAAAAUAGCAACGCACCAAACUUUUAAUAAGAAUCUUGAAAUGUUGAUGGUUAGCUUUUAAAGACUCACAAAUAGGUUGUAGUAAUGAAGUUGUAUUAGAAAACAAUCCCUUCAGUGAGUUCUAGGAUCACCUGGACUGGAGGGAAGUAGAGAGCUGGGAGGAAGAGGAGCAAAUACGGAUGUUUGUUAGGGAGAACUGGACAGUGAGAACAUGCAAGCUAGAUGAGGGGACAGGUCAGAGUGGUGUAAUCCAUGGCAUGAAGGCCAUCCAAGUGGGUACCAGUGGUGGUGUGCCCUCGGGUCAGUACUGGGGCACCCAGUCAGGACAGAGUGCACCCUUAGCAAGUUUUCUGAUGACGUAGAACUGGGAGGAGUGGCUGACAGACCCCAUGGCUCCCAUUCACGGCGACCUCGGCACAGUGGAAGAGAAACAGGCUGAUGAGAACCGUGUGACGUUCAGCAGACAGAAGCCUAAAGCUGUGCGUCUGGGAAGAAACAACCAGGAGGCUGGUGGUCAACUAGCAGGGAGGGAAAUCCUGUACAAGAUGGCUACAGCUCCCAGGCACGGAGAGGAAUUCCUGUUCUUCUGUGUCCUAGAAGGGCAAACAGUAAAUAGGCAUUCAAAAGAGGUUUUGUAUCAGGCGAGGUGACAGACAUAGGCAGUAUGGUGACAUGUUGAAUUACUGUUUUUUUUUUUUUUAAUGUUAAAGUUGGUCUUAAUUGUUUUAAUUUUUCUUGAGCAGAGACAGGCGUGUGAGUGCUCCUGCAAUAUUCAGGAAUCUCAUUCUGGGACUGCAUUUGGUUUAAGGACUACAGCUGCUACACACAGCAAACCAGGGUGACCAGCAGAUGCCAGCUCUUUGGUUCGGGGCAGUUCUGUUUUCUUUUUAAUAUAGCAGUAUGUUAAAACACUCUGCUUUUAAACCUCCGUGUUAAUGUUCAUAGGGGUAUUUUUGAUUUUUGAAAGCUUUUUGAAAGAUGAAUGCAUCUCUGUCCUGCUUAACUAUUAGAUGCAGAAAACCAUGGCCCACAGGGACUGGUCCAGGAACAGAAGUGGUGAGAAGGUGAUCAGAUGCCUGGUACAUGAAUUUGGUUUGACUUUAUUUUAGUAGAAUUCACACUGUGGAAAGGAUGCUUGAAUUCUGCACAUCACUUAUGUCAAUAAAGGCAGUUUGUCUUCCACCUAACAGGUUUGAUUCUUAGUGUACAAGGCUAACAUUUGCCAGCAGCUUGGUAUUUGCCUCCACGCAGAUACUGUAUAGUGCACAGUUUAUCUUACACUAACUUUCAUAUCUUUAGGACACAGUAUGUGAGAUGAGUCAUAAGCAAAUGGCAGCACCCUUCACUCGGUGGGGAUGGGAUCUUUUUAAUGGUGCUUUAGUACAAGUGAAUCAACUCCUGCCCUUUCUGUAAUGUCACUGCAAGAAUUACUGCUGGAGUAAAUUGUGACACCUUAAUCUUGCAAAGGUCAGCAUUUGCAUUUUGUACAGCCAAGGAAAACAAGUGUAAUAUAUGAAUUCCUGCUAGUGCAACUUCAUUGUGCCAAGAAGGUUUAGAUCAAGCAUAGAGAAGGAUUUUUUCAUGGAGAGGGCAGCCAAGCACUGGAAUGGGCUGCCCAGGGAAGUGGUGGAGUAUUUAGGAGAUGAGUGUACUUGGCACUGAGGGAUGUGAUUUAGUGAUUGGACUUGGUAGGUCAGGUGGAUGGUUGGGCUUAGUGAUCUUGAAGGUCUUUUUCAACUGAGAUAAUCCUAUGAUUCUGUGAUUCUGUUCUAUGAAUUCGAUCUUCUCUUUCUUGAGCUUCAUUUGAGCCCAUAAGCAAAUUAUUGCAGCAUUAUGCUUCUCUGAAACUUUUGGGCUUGGAAGAAUAUGUGCAAUUUCUUUCUCUCCAGUGAGAAGAGAGUUUGUGGGGAAGCACAGAGGGCACAGCUGUUUUGUAUGAAGAAAUCUACAGGGGAGACUAAGUAUAUGGAGAGCCAGCUUUGAGUAGCAAAUGCUGUUUGGCAAUACUGUAGCAUUCAUGUUAGAGUUUAAAAAAACAAAAAGUGAACGUGCAUGCUGUUAUAGGUCUGUUUGCUAUUUAUUGGCCUGUGCUCGGUUAUUCUAAAAACAGCGUUUUUUAGCUGUUGUAUUGUGUAGAUUCAUUAAGGACUUCUGCUGCCCUGCAUGAUGUGCUUAAGUCUGCUUCAACAAAGUCUUGAACUCAAAGCUCUUUUUUUUUUUUUUCCCACCUCUAGAGAGCAGCCUCGAGCUGCUUUCGUGGAGCAGUCCCAGGGAAACGUUCAGCUCUUACUGAGAGAUAAAGUCUCAUCAGGAGGAAAUCGUAGUUGCUGUGGACAGGACUACACAGAGAAAUGAAAGAAGAACCUGGCCCUUCAGAAUGGCGGAUCUACAGCUGCAACAUUGCAGCCAUCUUCAAGCGCUGCCCAGUUUGCCUGCUAGGGCACCAUUUAAGUAUUGAAUAGAGGGUCAUUGCUGUCAUGCUCAACACUAUGAUUGCUGCUGUGAGGCCACUAUUAGUGCAAAUGGCAGUUUCAGGCCCAUUACACUGAGUGCAUUCAAGAGGGCCCAAAACCUGUGGAAAAUGUAUAAUGAAACUAUUUGGGAAUGCUAUUAGGUCAACUGACACCAGAAUGGUAUAUGCAGCUUGUUGUUUUUCUAAUGAGAAAUACUGUUACUACUGUAAAGUAGCUGUUUCUAAUAAUUGUCUAAUUUUCAAAUGGAAGAAUAUAUUGAGAUAAUUGCAUAAGUACUGUCUAAAAAUAAAUUCUAAAACCACUAAAAAUGGCUUUAAAUUUGUUAAAUACUUUAGCUGGCCUUAUUGAAAUACAUUGCUUCAAAAAGUGGGAAAUUAUUCUUUCGUGGUGAGAUGAAAAAAGUGGUUUUAAUAACAAAAGUGCUUUAAAAAUUUAAAUAUGCAAGCACUUCAAACCUUACAGCUUCAAAUGUGGAGAAGAUGAAUUGGUCAAACACUGUCCCUGUUUCAGUUAAAGACAGUCUUGCCACUUAUUUCAAUCAGGUACGGGUUACACUCAAAGUGAUAAAUCUAACUUAUAAUUUCCCUGCUGCUUUGCUUUGCUGGGAGAUAAUAUAUUUACCUCAUUCAGGCCUUGUAUCUCUCAUUAGCUCUCAUUCAGGGACCCCAAAGAGUUUAACAAUCACUCAAAAUCCACUUAUACUUAAAAUACCAAUGUAGGGAUGUCAUCCCUCUUGAACUCUUUCUUAGCAAAUCAAAUCUGUGAGAUUCAAGGCUUCAAAAGGAGAUUAUUGUAGAUUUUACAAAAAUCUUUAUAAGUGGGUCAGUUACUUUACAGCUUUAAUAAUAUUCUUUUUUUU